rnacentral:misc_RNA from 1 species
AGAGAGAGAGAGUUAAUUGGCCGUACCCUUCGCUUCACUGCAGCUGUCUUUCUUUUUCUUUCCUACGCCAGCCAACCCAACCUUCUUUUUUGUUACCAGUCUUUCUUCCAUUUCAUUUUAUAAUUAUCUUCUACAAUUUUCUUUUUUAAAUUAAAAAAAAAAAAAUUGUUGGGAUUUUCUUUCCUCCCUCCUCUCACUGCAAAUUUUCUUCUGUCUAAAUUACUAUUUGCUGCUGAAGGCUGAAGCAUUCAACUUUCUAGGAAAACUCCCUUUUUUCUCUAUGUAUUUUUAUUUAUUUUUUAAUAUAUAAAGAAAUCUGUUUCAAGUAUCCUAUGCAAGAACUUAGAAAAGAAGACAAAGACAAUGCUCAUUACUUACAUAGUUGUAUUACAUUCAUGAGUUAAAGUCUCUGUUCUCCAAGGUCAAGUUGCUGCAUUUAUGUCACCUUCUUUGAUUUCUUAAUUCUAUAUUUCUUAUUGAGUUGCUGCUUCUGCAAUGCAGGUUUAUUUUCAAUGUUUUAUCAACUCACAUAGAGAUUCUAAAUGACAUCUUGUCCAACCAUAUGAUUUCUUAAUACAUUUAGAUUCAAAGAAGUUAACUUUGAUCCUUGCACUGUUGGACCCGACUUGAAGAAGAGCAAUGCCUAAGCGUCUACAUAUUAUCUAUCACUGCCAAGUUUUCCUUCUCCACAGCUUGCUUAGAAUAUUUUAGCAUUCAGUUAAAUAGGGAAUUAGGGGCCAAUAACAUUGGAGUUCCAAGCUUUCCUUCAUGUUCAAUUGGCAUAUGAUUCACCAAUAAAAUGUGAAAUUGGCAUUCCGGAUAUUCUUUGAAAAUGGAAAUCAAGGAAGCAGAAAGGGUAGUUAUAGCCAAACCAGUAGCUUCCAGGCCUACUUGCUCCAAUUUUAGGACUUUCUCAGAACUCCUUGCAGGUGCCAUUAGUGUUUCACCCCCUAAUGUAUGUUCAGAAACCACAGUUGCUGCUAUUAGACCAAAGACAGUGAGGUUCAAGCCAAUGGUGAAUCGGGCUCCAGCUGGAUCGAUUUCUUCCCAGGCUGAUCUCUCUGGAACUGGACUUUGCAAUUCAUAUGAUAAAGUUUCAAAAUCAGACAGUAAACCUACUGUGAUAUAUAAACCGCAGGCCAAACUUGUUUCAAAGACAACCGUUUCUCUUUUGGCGAAUAUGAAUAUCACUGCUCUACUUUUGAGACGCUAAAAAUGCAAGAAUAAAAAGUUUUCUUCUGACCAGGGAAAUUUUGUUGCUGGUCAUCAACAACAAACGCUGCCAUUGGUUGAGGCUCGAGUUCAACAUCCAAACCAAGAAAACCACAAUUUUACAACCCAGAUUACAUCAAAUUUUCACCAUAAUAUUCCAUAUCAUGCACAAACAGAUCAGUCAACUGAACCCUCAAGGUUAACAUCUCAGAACCAAGAGGAGGAUCUGAAAACCUUAUCUGCUGCGUCUAAUAGGGAUCGACCUUCAUAUGAUGGUUAUAAUUGGAGAAAAUAUGGGCAAAAGCAAGUAAAGGGAAGUGAGUAUCCGCGAAGUUAC